UCCAUAGAAUCAACAACAUUCUCCUAAAACUAACUCAAGUAUUUCAUCAUAAUGCCUUUUAGAUCAAAUAUUAAUGAUCUUAACCAGUUUCAAAAUAAGUCAAACCACCACACUUCCGCUGCACACUCUGAUUUAAUUCAUUUAAUUCUUUAAAGUCACAAAAUGAUUUCUGACUAAAGUAUCACUUUGCAUUGAGACUAAGAAACUCCAAAUUUCAAAUUUCCAAGUAGAACUAGAGCAAAACCUUUAGAUCUUUUUGUCCUCAAUUUAUAGAGUGUACAUACCAUAACUAACCCCCGAUCCUUUAGUCAAGUUUAAGGU
rnacentral:lncRNA from 1 species